rnacentral:lncRNA from 1 species
UCAAAAAUCCAACCCACCAUAUUUGCCAAGAUUUGCACACAAGAAGAGAGAGAAGAUGAAGAUAUUGGGAGAUAUUAUAUAGAUAUACAAGUUAUAUAUCUACACAUGUUUUACCCAUAAACAAAUACCCUUUCUCUUUGGUAAAAUGAGUUUUACUUCAUAUGUUUCUAAACUUCCACAAAAGCUAGAGAAAGAAAGAGAGAGAAGGAAAAAGAAAUAGAAAGGAAGUAGAGAGAAAGAAGUGGUCGGCAGCCCAUGAGGGAAGAAGGAAUAGGAAUUUUUCCAUGCUAUCCAUGUAUAUUAUCUACCUUGGCAAGAAGAAGAAAGAUAGCAUCAAACAAAGGUAUAAAUCUAAAAACCCCAAACUAGUUUAAUGCAUUUUAUUUUGGUGGUUUUAAAUCAAAUAUUGGACUUAUGAUUCUAAACUCAAAAAUCAUAGAUCUUCAUGUUAAAUGAUGUGUAGAUCUUACAAUUUUGGAUGUUAACAAGCUUGAUCAAAGAAGAUAAAUGAAAACAGUUUUUAAAGCUUAGAAAAGCUAGUGACUGCUGCCCCUAAACAGAAAAUUCAGGGUUAGUUAGACUACUCUUAAAAUUCCGGGCUUUUGGUAUGUUGUAGUACACUGAAUAAGCUUUCCAUAGACUCUAGAACGGAUUAAAUCCGACUUCGGAGGAAAGAGUUAUGCCAUUUUAAAGUAGCCAAGUCAAAACUGGAAAACUCAUUUCGGUUUAGUUCCUUUGUACAAAUUUCUGGGCUGAUAUGUUCGGAAUCUGGAAAAACGUCAGUAGGGAAGAGUUGUAGUCCCGGAAGUUAGCUUCGCGUGGGCUCAAGAAUCGCCUAAAACUGUUUUAAAAUGAAAGAGUUAUGACUGUUUUAGCAAAAUAGGGUAAAUCUGGAAAAAAGAUGAAAAUUGUUGCGAGUGGACAUUUUUGCGGCCUGUUUUAUGCUGCCUAAGAGGUUCGAAAUUACAGGGUGAUAUUUUUUAAAAAUACUUUGAUAUGCCAUGUAUAACAUAUCCAAAAAUCAGAUUAAUCGGAGUUACGAGUAAUACGUGAGAAAAUCGCGAAAUAGCUAGUUUGUUAAGCGCACGAUUGGGCGCAACAGUUGCCAAGCAGCGCAGCCGCGCGGCGCCGUGCUAUGCUGUUGUUUGACAUCCUUUUAGCGCAUUGUUUUGAUUAGUUUUCGUGAUCCAUUUUCGCGGUGUAAAAUUUUUAUAAAAUACUAUGCCAUGAGGUCUAUAAUACGCCUGAAAUUUCGCUGUUAUAUGACUCAUGAUUUGAGAAUUAAAAAUGAUCGAAUAGGCAUGUCAAAACUUGAAAACGAGCGAACGCCGAGCGUCGGUGCGUCGAGCGACUUUGACGUUCGACGUUCCGAAUCGUGUUCCGGCAAAAUAAUAAGUCAUAAUAAAUCUAAUAAAGUCCUAACGGACGAGAUUUGACUAUAAGUGAUAUUUUAUGCCGAGAAACUUUCUUUCAGGCAUAAAUAAAGCAAUAAAAAUAUGUAAUAAAUAUAAAUUACAUAUUUAAGCGAAAUAAAAAAAUAUUGUUGCCUAUAAAAUUAUUUUGUGAUGAAACAAAGAAUGUAAAACCUUUGAAAAAUUGUAUUAAUCAUAAAAAUGAUAUUUUGAGGUUUUCGGUGCUCAAAAUGAAGUUUUUGAGAUGAGAUUUAUGUAACGUAAUAUAUAUAUAUAUAUAUAUAUAUAUAUAUAUAAAUAUAUAUGAAACGAAAAUGCGAAUAAUCGUAAAAUGAAAAAUUAAGCGAAUGUGCUACCGAGAUAAAAUAUUUAUAUGAGGCAACAGUCAGUGUUGACUCAUGAACGGACAAACUGAUGUAAAAAUUAUUUAAAUUAAAGAAAUAAUAUAGUAAAUUGAGUUUUACUAUAAAAGCUAUGCAUUAGCUGUUUAAACUUCGAAUUUGUGAGUAAAGGUAAAAGAUAUUUCUAAAAUGAAAUUUAUAUGGUUUAAGCUUCAAGAUGUAAAAUAUUUGCAUCUUAAAGUGUGAGACCUUUAUUAUUUAUAAAAAAAGUAAAAUAUUAUUACAUAAUUAAUAUAUAAUAUUAGAAAGUGAUUAAAAUAUUAUUAAAUGAUUAAUAAUAUUAGUAAGGGAUUUAAAUAUUAUUAAAUGAUUAAUAAUAUUUGUGAAUGAUAAAUAUUCUAUUAAAUGAUUAAAAAUAUUAGACAAAAGUUUAAGAUAAUGGUGAAGUGAUAGUAAUAUUAUUAAGGGAUAAUAAUAUUACUAAUUAUUCAAUGUUUAAUUAUGUGGCUAAAUGUUAGCUAAUUUAUUAUUUGAGUAAUAGUGUUGUGAGAUAAAAUGUAUUAUGCUAAUUGGAGGAUCGAUCUUAUUAAUGAUAGGUCUUUCAUAAGAGAUUAAUUUAGAUUGCAUAGCGGUAAUCAACGUUACAGGCAAGUUUUCUAACUCAAACUCGAGUUAAUAAUUUUCUAGAAUGCUAGUGGUAUAGUUAUUGACAAUUAUUUCACAUCCAUGAUUAUUAAUUCGCACUUAGUGUACAUUGCAUAUGUUUAUCAGGUAUGAAAGGCUGAUCACUUUCAUUACCAAAGUAUUUGUUCAUGGUCGUUGUUGACCACUCAACGUUAUUAGUUCGAUCAUCUAUGUAUUGAAAUUUGAUUCAUGUUCUUUCACAACCAUUAUAUUGUUGAAAACUUGAAAGCUUAUUCAUUUUCAAUCAUGAUAUAUAUUCAUUGUACUUAAACUUGCUAGGCAAAAUAGUUGCUCACCCUUGCUAUAUCAUGAUAAAAUUUUCAGAUUAAGACAAAGGCUUGGAUAAAGACAGAGGCAAAGGCAAAUUCCAGAAUUGGAUUAUUAUACAGUUAGAAUUAUUAAAUUUUAGGAUGCGAAUGACAUUAUAAAUUGUGUAGAAUACUGAAUGCAUGUAUUAAGUUAAGGUUACAGACCUUGGGGAUUAUGUGUAAAAGUUUAUUGUAUAAACAAUUUAUGUUUAUAUCUUCCGC